UUACAUACGGAUAAAAAUGCAUGUAGCUUAUUUAAACUAUGGACCAUUUUGAGUUGGUACCAAAUAUUUUGAAUUUUAAUAUUUUAAUUUGUUUGAUUUGAAUCGGUUAAUAAUAUAUUGACUUAUAGAUUUUGAAUGAGUUAUUUUUCUUCCUAGUUUUAGUAAGUAUACUUUAUAUAAUUCUUGCAAUUAUAAAUUUAUUAAAAUUAAUAAUUAGUUUAAAUUUUUUGAAGUUAAUGUAUCGUUGACUAACUUAAAUAAAAUAAAUUGAAAAGUUAGAUAGUGGAUUCAAAAUCAUCCAUAGUUUAAAUAAGUUCAGCACGUUUUUACCUUACCUAAAAUAUUAUUUUUCUGGAUUAAUUAUUAAUGUGUUCACAAAUUUAUAUAGUACGAAUUUGGAACAACUACUGGCUUCCGUAGCUGAUUGGCACUCAAAU
rnacentral:lncRNA from 1 species